CCUACGGGAGGCAGCAGUAGGGAAUAUUGCUCAAUGGGGGAAACCCUGAAGCAGCAACGCCGCGUGGAGGAUGAAGGUUUUCGGUUUGUAAACUCCUUUUGUUAGAGAAGAUAAUGACGGUAUCUAACGAAUAAGCACCGGCUAACUCCGUGCCAGCAGCCGCGGUAAUACGGAGGGGGCAAGCGUUACCCGGAUUCACUGGGCGUAAAGGGCGCGUAGGCGGGAUAGCAAGUCAGAUGUGAAAUGCGAUGGCUUAACCAUCGAACUGCUUUUGAAACUGUUAGUCUGGAGUAUAGGAGAGGUAGGUGGAAUUCUUGGUGUAGGGGUAAAAUCCGUAGAGAUCAAGAGGAAUACUCAUGGCGAAGGCGACCUGCUAGAACGUAACUGACGCUGAUGCGCGAAAGCGUGGGGAGCAAACAGGAUUAGAUACCCGGGUAGUC
rnacentral:rRNA from 1 species